GACGAACGCUGACGGCGUGCUUAACACAUGCAAGUCGAAGGGAGUGGCGAACGGGUGAGUAACACGGGAGUAACCUGCCCUUUUACUUGGGAUAAGCCUGGGAAACUGGGUCAAAUACUGGAUGGAUGGGGUUGGGCCCGCGGCUUAUCCGCUUGUUGGUGGGGUGCUGGCUUACCAAGGCUUUGACGAGAGGCCGGCCGGAGAGGGGGGUCGGUCACACGUGGACGGAGAUACGGCCCAGACUACGACGUGAUGAAGCAGUGGGGGGUAUGGAACAAGGGACGAAAGUCUGAUGCAGCGACGUCGUGUGGGGGAUGAAGGCCUUCGGGUUGUAAACUCCUUUCGCCCGCGGAAUGGUAGUGGGUAAAGAAGCGCCGGCUAACUACGUGCCAGCAGCCGCGGUAAUAC
rnacentral:rRNA from 1 species